rnacentral:rRNA from 1 species
UACAUGUGGGGCAAGCGUUGUUCGGAAUUACUGGGCGUAAAGGGUGCGUAGGCGGCGCGGUAAGUCGGGUGUGAAAUCUCGGAGCUUAACUCCGAAACUGCAUUCGAUACUGCCGUGCUUGAGGACUGGAGAGGAGACUGGAAUUUACGGUGUAGCGGUGAAAUGCGUAGAUAUCGUAAGGAAGACCAGUGGCGAAGGCGGGUCUCUGGACAGUUCCUGACGCUGAGGCACGAAGGCCAGGGGAGCAAACGGG